UAGAGGCGUUAAUAUUGUGCCACACUUUGGG
rnacentral:piRNA from 1 species